CAAGAAGAGGAGUUGGUCUAGUGGAGGUUAUGCAAUCAAUUAUUCAAUUGGUCUUGGGUUCGAAUCUGCCAAGGACUAAGCAUAAAAGUUUUUAUUCUUUUCAUUCAGCUCUUUGCAAUUACCAUUUUGCCCUAAAAAAAAAGAAAGAGAACAGAGAGAGAGAGAAAAGAGGUAGAUAUAUUAACGCAUAAGUCGGUUCAUUCUUCAGCCUCUUCUUUUUCAUUCUUUCGAACCUUCCAGAUCAGAGGAGAGAGUGCUUGUUUUUCCUUAUUACCUUCGUCUUCUUCCUAAUUCCGUUCAGCUCGCCGGCUAGUUUGAGUGUGCUCAUUGUAGUUCCUCAUUUCUUCCUCUGUGAUGGCUAGUAAUAGAUCAAGUUUCUUCCUCCUGUCAUCGCUGGCGACCGUGAACGAACUUUCUUCCUCCUCUGCUGUGUUGCUGUGAGGGAAAGUCGAGAGUUCAUCAUUUUUCUUUCUCUGCCUCGCGUCAUUGGUGCUCGCCGCCAUGGAAGCUCUGUCUAUUCCGCUGUCAUUCUUCGUUCUCCCCUGUUAGUUUCGUGCCAAGUGCUUCAAUAUCUUGCAGUGGGAGUAUUUCUGUCAUGGUUGGAGGUUCGAUUUUCUAGUUCUCCCACUUCCCUGUGCGCAACGGCGAGAACCUCUUUUUUUUCCUAUCCUUGACAUUUUUUAGUCAGAGGGAACUCUAAGUUUCUCGUCCUAGCUCUGUCCCGAUGGACCUAAGGGGAUGAAAGAAAAUGUCGAUCGAGAUAGUAAGGGAGGAUUGAAGCUUUAAAGGGUGAAUUUUACACUUGGAAAUAGUGCAGGACGUUAUUCACUGGAAAAUAUUUUGGUCUCAGAUAGCCUGUGCCUCCGCCAGAUCAUCCAAGAGAUUUUGUUAUGGGAUUGAAGUUGAGACAUCGUUUUGGUUAAUUUCUAUUUCGAUGUACAAUUUUAAUAUAUAUAUUGUACUUUUAUAAAUAAUUUUAUAGGUGCUCCACAUAGAUUACGGUUACAAUCUUUAUUUUGUAAUAUUUCAUUUGUUGGUUGGAAGGAGCUAAGCUCCUAGAUGUUAUAAUACUUCUUUAAAAUUUUGGUAUUGUAAAUUUUGGGAAAAUCCUAC